rnacentral:rRNA from 1 species
UUGUUAGUUGCCACCAUUCAGUUGGGCACUCUAGCGAGACUGCCGGUAAUAAACCGGAGGAAGUGGGGAUGACGUCAAAUCAUCAUGCCCCUUAUGACCUGGGCUACACACGUGCUACAAUGGUUGGUACAACGAGUUGCGAGUCGGUGACGGCGAGCUAAUCUCUUAAAGCCAAUCUCAGUUCGGAUUGUAGGCUGCAACUCGCCUACAUGAAGUCGGAAUCGCUAGUAAUCGCGGAUCAGCACGCCGCGGUGAAUACGUUCCCGGGCCUU